rnacentral:rRNA from 1 species
AGCAGCCGCGGUAAUUCCAGCUCCAAUAGCGUAUAUUAAAGUUGUUGCAGUUAAAAAGCUCGUAGUUGAAUUUCAGGCCUGGCUGGGCGGUCCGCCCUUCGGGUGAGUACUGCCUGUGGUCGGGUCCUACCUUCUGGCGAAGCGUCAUGGCCUUCACCGGCCGUGGCGGGGAACCAGGACUUUUACUGUGAAAAAUUAGAGUGUUCAAAGCAGGCAAUCGCUUGGAUACAUUAGCAUGGAAUAAUGGAAUAGGACAAUGGUUCUAUUUGUUGGUUUCUAGGACCGUUGUAAUGAUUAAUAGGGAUAGUUGGGGGCAUUAGUAUUCAAUUGUCAGAGGUUUGAAAUUCUUGGAUUUAUUGAAGACUAACUACUGCGAAAGCAUUUGCCAAGGAUGUUUUCAUUAAUCAAGAACGAAAGUUAGGGGAUCGAAGACGAUCAGAUACCGUCGUA